rnacentral:rRNA from 1 species
CACGCAGGCGGUCUGUCAAGUCGGAUGUGAAAUCCCCGGGCUCAACCUGGGAACUGCAUUCGAAACUGGCAGGCUGGAGUCUUGUAGAGGGGGUAGAAUUCCAGGUGUAGCGGUGAAAUGCGUAGAGAUCUGGAGGAAUACCGGUGGCGAAGGCGGCCCCCUGGACAAAGACUGACGCUCAGGUGCGAAAGCGUGGGGAGCAAACA